CAAGUGCUCGGCCCCCAGGCCUGCGUUCAGUGAGGCCUCCCGUGGCGUCAGCAUGUUCGUGUGGAGGAAUGUGGAAGGUCACUCUGCGGCCGUGUUCUCCUGGUACUCCAUCCCCUUCCUGACCCCUCCCUGCAGCCACACGAGGCCCAGCAACCUGCCAGUCACUCAGUGGCCUCCAACCAGAGAAAACAACCUGCCAAGUUGGCAGCCGUUGCUCAUGAGCGUCCACCAGGUGGGACAGGGAGUGUUGACCCUGGGCAGCCCCCUGGAGCCACCUGCCCUGAAAGCCCAGGGCCCGCAACCCCACACACUUUGGGGGUGGUGGAACCUGGUAAAAGCUCACCUCCCACCAUGGAGGAGGAGCCCUGGGCCCCUCAGGGGAGUCCCUGCUGGACAGUGAGACAGAGAAUGACCAUGAUGAUGCUUUCCUCUCCAUCAUGUCUCCUGACACCCAGUUGCCUCUACCACUCAGAUGAUGUCAGGCCCAGUCCCUCAGUGCCCUGCGCAAGGAACAGGACUCAUCUUCUGAGAAGGAUGGACGCAGCCCCAACAAAUCAGACAAGGACCACAUCCGGUGGCCCAUGAGUGGCGCUCAUGAUCUUCAGCAGGCGGCACCAGGCCCUGGCGGGGCGCACCAGGGUCAUCCCAACCAGGAUAACCGGACCGUCAGCCAGAUGCUGAGCGAGCGGUGGUACACCCUGGGGCCCAAUGAGAUGCAGAAAUACAACCUGGCCUUCCAGGUGAAGGUGGCCCACUUGCAACAAGGACCGAAAGAAGUCCAGCUCAGAGGCCAAGCCCACAAGCCAGGGGCUAGCAGGAGUGUAACAAGGGCUCGUGGGAGCGGAGCAUAUCAGAGACGGGCACUGCCACUGCCCCUGGGGUGUCCUCUGAACUCCUGUCAGUUGCAGCCCAAACACUCCAGAGCUCGGAUACCAAGGAGCAGCUUCUGUGGGGCAGAACGGCUGCACACAGUCAGGGAACCUGGCUCAGCCUGGCCCAAGCCUUCUCCCACAGCGGGGUACACAGCCUGGACGGCAGGGAAAUAGACCGUCAGGCACUACGGGAACUGACACAGGUGGUGUCUGGCACUGCAUCAUACUCUGGCCCAAAGCCUUCUACUCAGCAUGGAGCUCCAGGCCACUUUGCAGCCCCUGGUGAGGGAGGUGACCCGUGGGCAGCCCUGCUGCCGCCCACGUGAGCUGCUCAUUCCCAGCACAUGGCCAGCGAGGUCAUAGCGAGUGACGAAGAGCACACGGUCAUCCAUGAGGAGGAGGGGGUGAUGAUGUCAUUGCUGAUGAUGGCUUUAGCACCACCGACACCGAUCUCAAGUUCAAGGAGUGGGUGACCGACUGAGAGUGGGGACAACUCUGGGGAGGAGCCAGAGGGCAACAAGGGCUUUGGUGGGAAGGUAUUUGCACCUGUCAUUCCUUCCUCCUUUACUCCUGCCGCCCCUUGCUGGAUCCUGAGCCCCCAGGGUCCCCCGAUCCACCUGCAGCUUUUGGCAGUCUAUGGUCACACCCUGUCCUCCUCCUACACAUACUCGGAUGCUUCCUCCUCAACCUUGGCACCCACCUCCUUCUUACUGGGCCCAGGAGCCUUCAAAGCCCAGGAGUCUGGUCAACGCAGCAGAGCGGGCCCCCUACGGCCCCAACCCCUGGGGAUGGGGGCCCAGGGACGCCUUCCAAGGUGGCCUGUUUCCUCCCAAUGGAUCCUGCCACCUUCUGGUGCAAGAGACCUGAAAGUGUGGGCGACCUGGAGCUACCAGGCUCCUCAGUCAUCAGGGUCCCUCCCAAUACUAAGGCUUUCCUAGGCAGGAGCUGGAGGCUGGACUGAGGCAGGUGCCAACUGAAGCUGCUGGGGCAGCAUGGGCAGGAUGUUCUGCACACAAACCUUGGAGAAGAAGAUGUGUGCAUAGCAGGUCCACUGCUGCUGCCCCUGCCCUGACUCCCAGCCCUGCCUGACCCCACCUCAACCUGCUCAGGCUCUGGCACAACCCUGGCUGCCCUGCCACUGCCUCUGCCCCAGAGUUGGGGCCUUGACAGCCUGGUUGGAAGGGGACACCCCAGC
rnacentral:lncRNA from 1 species